rnacentral:rRNA from 1 species
UCAAGCGAUUAAGAGCUUACGAUGGAUACCUUGGUAUUCAGAAGCGAUGAAGGGGGUACCGAGCUCGAAUUCACUGGCC